rnacentral:misc_RNA from 1 species
AACACUGUUAACCUGCGGUACCUGCGGAAGGAUCAUUACCGAGUUUACAACUCCCAAACCCCUGUGAACAUACCUAUACGUUGCCUCGGCGGAUCAGCCCGCGCCCCGUAAAACGGGACGGCCCGCCCGAGGACCCUAAACUCUGUUUUUAGUGGAACUUCUGAGUAAAACAAACAAAUAAAUCAAAACUUUCAGCAAUGGAUCU